rnacentral:tRNA from 1 species
UAGCUCAAUGGUAGAGUGCUUGCCUUGCAUGCAUGAUGCCCUGGGUUCGAUUCCUGG